rnacentral:rRNA from 1 species
AUUGAACGCUGGCGGCAGGCCUAACACAUGCAAGUCGAACGGUAGCACAGAGAGCUUGCUCUCGGGUGACGAGUGGCGGACGGGUGAGUAAUGUCUGGGAAACUGCCCGACGGAGGGGGAUAACUACUGGAAACGGUAGCUAAUACCGCAUAACGUCGCAAGACCAAAGUGGGGGACCUUCGGGCCUCACACCAUCGGAUGUGCCCAGAUUGGAUUAGCUAGUAGGUGGGGUAAUGGCUCACCUAGGCGACGAUCCCUAGCUGGUCUGAGAGGAUGACCAGCCACACUGGAACUGAGACACGGUCCAGGCUCCUACGGGAGGCAGCAGUGGGGAAUAUUGCACAAUGGGCGCAAGCCUGAUGCAGCCAUGCCGCGUGUAUGAAGAAGGCCUUCGGGUUGUAAAGUACUUUCAGCGGGGAGGAAGGCGGUGAAGUUAAUAGCUUCACCGAUUGACGUUACCCGCAGAAGAAGCACCGGCUAACUCCGUGCCAGCCGCCGCCGUAA